AUCACUUGGCUGCUGGGGGGCAGGAACAACUACCUCUGCCCCCUGUAACUCAGCCUGUCGCUGGGGAGGGAGGACACUGCUCUCCUCUCCCUGCACUUCACACUGCCUUCCCGGCAUAUCACUCUGCUGCUGGGGGGCAGGAACAACUACCUCUGUCCCCUGUAACUCAGCCUGCCGCUGGGGAGGGAGGACGCUGCUCUCCUCUCCCUGCACUUUACACUGCCUUCCCGGCAUAUCACUC